CGCCUCGUCCUCGCCCUCCAGGCCUCGCGAGCACCAUUAAUGAGACGGACGAGGCCACCAGCGGCUGCCCGUCACCACUACGACCUCCCCGAGUAUCCUUGCCCCGCCCCGCCCCACCUGCCGCUCUCCAAAGGGCACGCCACUCACCAUGAAGACGACCACGACGACAAGGAACCUAACGACAAGGGAACCCUACGACUUCAAGCUCGAGUUACUUUCGGGGAGAGCGAAAAGAGGAAGAGAGGCAAAAGUUAGUCUAUCGUCCCCACCACCACCAUCACCACUUCCAUCGCCGCUGCAUUCCUCAGUUUUCCAGGGCUCCGAGAGGAUUUCUUGAGGCCUGGGAGGAUUAAAAACACUUUGUGGGAGGAAGAGAAAACUCCGUGUGCCCGCCGUUCGCCGCGCCCUGCCCCUCGGUAUCGGCUCACAGACCAGCACUUUCCAGGUCUUGUCGCUCAUUCCCCG